UACGGAGGGGGCUAGCGUUGUUCGGAAUUACUGGGCGUAAAGCGCGCGUAGGCGGCUUUGUAAGUUAGAGGUGAAAGCCCGGAGCUUAACUCCGGAACUGCCUUUAAGACUGCAUCGCUAGAAUCGUGGAGAGGUGAGUGGAAUUCCGAGUGUAGAGGUGAAAUUCGUAGAUAUUCGGAAGAACACCAGUGGCGAAGGCGGCUCACUGGACGACUGUUGACGCUGAGGUACGAAAGCGUGGGGAGCAAACAGGA
rnacentral:rRNA from 1 species